rnacentral:rRNA from 1 species
CCUACGGGCGGCAGCAGUGAGGAAUAUUGGUCAAUGGACGAGAGUCUGAACCAGCCAAGUAGCGUGCAGGAUGACUGCCCUCUGGGUUGUAAACUUCUUUUAUAUGGGAAUAAAACAGGGUAUGCAUACCCUCUUGUAUCUACUACAUGAAUAAGGAUAGGCGAACUCUGCGUCAGCAGCCGCGCUUAUACGGAGGAUCCGAGCGUUAUCCGGAUUUAUUGGGUUUAUAGGGAGCGUAGGUGGAUUGUUAAGUCAGUUGUGAAAGUUUGCGGCUCAACCGUGAAAUUGCAGUUGAAACUGGCAGUCUUGAGUGCAGUAGAGGUGGGCGGAAUUCGUGGUGUAGCGGUGAAAUGCUUAGAUAUCACGAAGAACUCCGAUUGCGAAGGCAGCUCACUGGGCUGCAACUGACACUGAGGCUCGAAAGUGUGGGUAUCAAACAGGAUUAGAUACCCCAGUAGUC